rnacentral:rRNA from 1 species
GAUGAACGCUGGCGGCGUGCCUAAUACAUGCAAGUCGAGCGAACAGACGAGGAGCUUGCUCCUCUGUCGUUAGCGGCGGACGGGUGUGUAACACGUGGAUAACCUCCCUAUAAGACUGGGAUAACUUCGGGAAACCGGAGCUUAUACCGGAUAAUAUAUUGAACCGUAUGGUUCAAUAGUGAAAGUCGGUUUUGCUGUCACUUAUCGCUGGAUCCGCGCCGCAUUAGCUAGUUGGUACGGUAACGGCUUACCAAGGCAACGAUGCGUAGCCGACCUGAGAGAGUGAUCGGCCACACUGGAGCUGGGACGCGGUCCAGACGCCUGCGAGAGGCAGCAGUAGGGAAUCGUCGGCAGUGGGCGAAAGCCUGGCGGAGCGACGGCACGUGAGUGAUGAAAGUCUUCGGAUCGUAAAACUCUGUUAUUAGUGAAAAACAAAUGUGUAAGGAACUGUGCACGUCUUGACGGUACCUAAUCAGGAAGCCACGGCUAACUACGUG